rnacentral:rRNA from 1 species
ACGGGAGGCAGCAGUGGGGAAUAUUGCGCAAUGGGGGAAACCCUGACGCAGCAACGCCGCGUGAAGGAAGAAGGUUUUCGGAUUGUAAACUUCAACAAACAGGGAAGAAAAAAAUGACGGUACCUGUCUGAAGCCACGGCUAACUACGUGCCAGCAGCCGCGGUAAUACGUAGGUGGCAAGCGUUGUCCGGAUUUACUGGGUGUAAAGGGCGUGUAGGCGGGCGCUUAAGUCAGUGGUGAAAUGUCGGGGCUCAACCCCGGAGCUGCCAUUGAAACUGGGCGUCUUGAGUGCAGGAGAGGAAAGCGGAAUUCCUAGUGUAGCGGUGAAAUGCGUAGAUAUUAGGAGGAACACCAGUGGCGAAGGCGGCUUUCUGGACUGUAACUGACGCUGAGGCGCGAAAGUGUGGGGAGCAAACAGGAUUAGAUACCCUGGUA